rnacentral:rRNA from 1 species
AGUGGCGGACGGGUGAGUAACGCGUGAGAAUCUGCCUUCAGGUCGGGGACAACAGAGGGAAACUUCUGCUAAUCCCGGAUGAGCCUUAGGGUAAAAAAUUUAUUGCCUGGAGAUGAGCUCGCGUCUGAUUAGCUAGUUGGUAAGGUAAAAGCUUACCAAGGCAACGAUCAGUAGCUGGUCUGAGAGGAUGAGCAGCCGCACUGGGACUGAGACACGGCCCAGACUCCUACGGGAGGCAGCAGUGGGGAAUUUUCCGCAAUGGGCGAAAGCCUGACGGAGCAAGACCGCGUGGGGGAGGAAGGCUCUAGGGUUGUAAACCCCUUUUCUUUGGGAAGAACAAAAUGACGGUACCAAAGGAAUCAGCCUCGGCUAACUCCGUGCCAGCAGCCGCGGUAAUACGGAGGAGGCAAGCGUUAUCCGGAAUGAUUGGGCGUAAAGCGUCCGCAGGUGGCAAUGUAAGUCUGCUGUCAAAACCCAGGGCUCAACUCUGGUCAGGCAGUGGAAACUACAUAGCUAGAGUUCGGUAGGGGCAAAGGGAAUUCCCGGUGUAGCGGUGAAAUGCGUAGAGAUCGGGAAGAACAUCGGUGGCGAAAGCGCUUUGCUAGACCGAAACUGACACUCAGGGACGAAAGCUAGGGGAGCGAAUGGGAUUAGAUACCCC